GACGGAGGGUGCUAGCGUUGUUCGGAAUGACUGGGCGUAAAGGGCGCGUAGGCGGCCGCUUGCGUCGGAUGUGAAAGCCCGGGGCUCAACCCCGGGAACGGCAGCUCCGACGUACGGGGCGGGCCUCGAGGACCGAGGAGAGGUGAGUGGAAUACCCAGUGUAGAGGUGAAAUUCGUAGAUAUUGGGAAGAACACCGGUGGCGAAGGCG
rnacentral:rRNA from 1 species